rnacentral:rRNA from 1 species
AAUCAACGCUGGCGGCGCGCCUAACACAUGCAAGUCGCACGAGAAAGUGGAGCAAUCCAUGAGUAAAGUGGCGUACGGGUGAGUAACACGUGGAUCAUCUACCUCUUAGUGGGGAAUAACCCUGGGAAACCGGGGCUAAUACCGCAUAAGUCCGAGAGGAGAAAGCAGCAAUGCGCUGAGAGAGGAGUCCGCGGCCGAUU